UCCCCGGUAGCUCAGUGGUAGAGCGAGCGGCUGUUAACCGCUAGGUCGGUGGUUCGAAUCCGCCCCGGGGAG
rnacentral:tRNA from 1 species